rnacentral:rRNA from 1 species
UACGAAGGGGGGCUAGCGUUGCUCGGAAUCACUGGGCGUAAAGGGUGCGUAGGCGGGUUUUUAAGUCAGGGGUGAAAUCCUGGAGCUCAACUCCAGAACUGCCUUUGAUACUGAAGAUCUCGAGCCCGGGAGAGGUGAGUGGAACUGCGAGUGUAGAGGUGGAAUUCGUAGAUAUUAGGAAGAACACCAGUGGCGAAGGCGGCUCACUGGUCCGGUACUGACGCUGAGGUGCGAAAGCGUGGGGAGCAAACAGG